GCUCGCGUAUACCUCACAUUCCCGAACUGGAACGCCACGGAUUCUAUAAGGUUGCUCCUUUUUUGCCCCGAUUUGCUCGGCGCGUAGGCACGCGAGAAAGAACGAGAUCGACCUGCAAACAAGAGAAAGAUAGAAAGAAAGAGAGAUGAAAGAGAAAGAGAAAGAGAGAGAAUUCUUCCCCAACGACGACGAUGACGACGACGACGAGGUUUAGAUGAGGAUCAACCAGAACGAGGAUGGUUUUAAUGGCAGCCCGUCGUACCUUUCCUUUUCCAAAGAAGAUGAAGAUGUCGUAUGGCGCCUCCUUGAACGAGUAUUCACGUUCAACAUUUCCUUCCUGGAAAAGUUCUGACUAAGCUGGAGGUACGCAUGUAUAUCUCUACGUACAUAUCUACCUAUCUACCUAACUACGUAUUAUUCGAAAGGAUUAAAUACCGGCUGCUGCUCGUUACACAUCGACUAUCAAUGAGAAUCUCCGCUGUAAGCUUCGAAUACGAUGGGAAUGGUAUUGUGGUGGGGUGGCAAACGGGCUGGAAGGGUGGGAGGUUGGGACAGAAAGCUCGAAUAGUAUAUAAACCUACAUAUGUACAUACGUUGUUUAUACGCGAAACGCAUACGCGAGAGAGGAACCAUCCCACCUGUUCUCGUUGCAUUCUCUCUCUCUCUCUCUCUCUCUCUAUCUGUCUCUCUCUUUAUCCCUCUCUUUCUAUCUCGUAUACACUGUUUGUCGAGCAAAUCGAGCAGCACGAGGCGCAAGAGCACGUGCUGCCAGCACAUCACGAUCCUCUUCCCAGGAAUGUGGUCUGUAAACACACACAUACGGGUUAAGGGACCUCGCGAGGAGGCGCCGAGCUCGUAAAUCACUCACCGAUGGUAAUCUGCUUUCUCCGUGCUCUCGCGAGAAGCACGCCAUGCGCACGCGCAAAACUAUUUGCGCGAACACCUUCCACUUUCGGAGCGAUUAACCCUUGAAACCAAACUUUUUUUAUGUUCGAUUUCUUUCUUUCUUUUCUUCUUCUUCUUCUUCUUCUUCUUCUUCUUAUUCAUCUUCGUCUUCUUUUUUGUUGUUGGUUUUUUUUGUUUCUUUUUUGUUUUUGUUUUUUGUUUUUUUUCCUUCAUCGUUAAAUCGUUAUACAUCGUUAAAAAAGAAUAUCAACCAUGGCGUGUUAUCUAAAAGAAAAAUGUCAACGAAUGUUUUACGAAAAGGGACUUUUUUUUUUAUCUUAUCUUUCGACGUAUAAGUAUUAUCGAUGAAUAAGUAUCGUAUUAAUUUAUAAUUCGAUUCGAUUUAAUCAUUUUCAAUGUUUUCGUAAACGAUUGUUCGAUGUUAUUUUUUACUUACGAUAUAAUCGUGAUAAUAAGAUUUUUUUGUCUUUUCUUUUUCUUUUUUUCUUUUUUUCUUUUCAUUUAUUUACAUCACCGAUUUAGAAAUAUCUAAUUUAUAUUUUCCAUACAAAGAGACAUAAUCUUUAUUACGUAAUACUCGUAUACAUAAUAAGUUAUGAUUAGUUAGAGGUUAGUUUUAGAUCAUUAACUACAAAUAUUUUUUUGAAUAGGAUCCUUCGUUAGUCAUUUUCAUUCGCGCAAGAUCUUCGAGCGAUAAUUCUGCAAUAACAGAAUUAUUUUACAUCAACGAUUUAGAAAUAAUCUAAUUUUAUGUUCUACGCAAAUAGAGAUUAACGACGUACUCCAUAUUACGCAAUGUAAGUACAGAUAACAAGUUAUAUUUGAUCUGUUUCUAAUCAUUAAUAAUAAUAAUUUUCAAACGAUUAUUAUAACCUCGUUAAUUUUUUUAUUUAUACAAAAUUCUCGAAUGAUCAUUCUAACAAUACGAUUUUUCAAAUAUAUCUGAUUUAAAUAGUCAUAAACGUUCGCACACAUACACGCACAUUUAAUAUAUUCUACGUUAAAUGAAGAAAUAUAUACGAAUUUUCAGAAAUGUAUUUUGUCCGACUGAUAAACAUUAUUUGUAAUCGCAAAAAAAUAAAGAGAUCACGAACCGGUUAACUCUUAUGACAUACACUUGUUGUCUACGAACUGACGUAAGUAAGUAGAUUAUUCCAAAUCUUUCGCGCGAAGGAACGAGAGGAAAAGAGAAUGAGAGAGAGAGAGAGAGAGAGAGAGAGAGAGAGAAAGAGAGAGAGAGAGGAUCGUUCAGAUGCGGGAGAGAAGUGGAACGACGCGGAAACGUUAUGAUAAGCUCGCGCUGAACUUGACCCACUCGACGAAGCGGUUCCUACACAAGCAACCACUACAAUGAUAUGAAGUUACGGGCGGCUCGUGCAAAGCCGUAACACGAUAACAGCUGUUGCAUACCUCUCGAUUUGCGGGACAGCAAAAGUUUCGACGAUCGCGUGUCCGACGGUUGCACGAACAGGAGGCUCACGCACACAUCUACGUAAGUACGUUCUCUCUCUCUCUCUCUCUCUCUCUCUCUCUCUCUCUCUUUCUCUGUCUCUCUCUGUCUCUCUCUUUUUCUCUCUUUUUCUCUCAUUUUUUC